CUUUUGCUCUUAAUUUUGUUAUCAGUAUUUUUAUAUAAUAUUUAGAUUGAAUACUCUGAGCAAAAUAUACUUGGCCAUUUGUUUUCUAUUUUUUUUUUUUUUUUGGUACCAGGGAUCGAACUUGGGUCCUUGCACUUGCGCAGCAGGCAGCGGAACCACUGAGCUAAAUCCCUGGCCCCUUGUUUUCUAUUCUUUAUCAGACCAUAUUUAUUUCCUCUUUUGAGGCUUUAAAGACAAUAAAUUAUAGGUGACUCUGAGGUCAUCUAGCAAAUUCCCUUAAAGCCCAGAGAUAUUAAAGAGCCUAUCCAAGGUCAGCCAGGCAAUAAGUAGUUCAUUCAGGACUGGAAAACUAAUUCAGAGCUCUUUCUUCCACAUCAUAGCUGGGAAGAUUUGGAUUUUUAAAAAUUAAUUAAUAGUACUGCAUCUGUCAAAAUGACGUUGGGCCUGCAGAAGUUCCCAGUGAGUUUCUUUUACCUUCUCAGAAAAACACCCAUAAAGACCCGAAAGACCAAAUCUCAACUCUAGAAUCUAAGAGAUUGACACAAUUGCUGAGACAUAUAGAGGUGGAUUAGGCAAACUUUCCAAGUUGUAGCUCAGUGUUUGUCUUCCAUCCAUGAAACAGGGACAUUGUGAAAUUAAAAAUUUGAAAGUGUGCCAGGGAUUUUAGCUCAGUGGUUUCACCGCCUGCUGCGCAAGCGCAAGGACCCGAGUUCGAUCCCCGGUACCAAAAAAAAAAAAAAAUGAAAGUGAUUUAGUAUAUGUCUUCCUCCCAGCCAUGUAUGUCUCCUUAUCCAUACUCAGAGUUCCUGAGCUGGAGAAAUAACUGACUGACCCUCUUAAGCAAAUACUUCACCAUGAAGAGAAGGUUCUAGAUCCCAGCCUCUCUACCUUUUCCCCAACAUUCUUCCUCUUCAUUCAGCUCAAGCCCCCAAAUCCUAAGGCUAAAGCAUGAGUGGACAGCAGAGAGGGACCAGUAGACACAUGGGAUCUUGUGACAAUAAAGCCUUUUAGAUCAAAGCAGAGACAGUAAAUGACUGGGUAGCAGAACAGAACAUGCAAAGAUUGUGUUUCACGUACAAUGUUGGUUCAAACAUUCAAAAAAACCAGCAAGAGAAAGGAAAAUGAUACUACUUAAAUAGAAAAGUAGUAAACCAGAAAAUGGACUUAGAAAUAUACACAUCAUCUUACCAUCAACCUGAAAUUUGACAAAUAAGGGGAUUUGACAAACAAGUGGACAGGUUCUGGGAAGAAAGAAUCACAUUUAAGGAUGAGUACAAGAAGAAAAAAAAGCAAACAAAAAAGAAAUGUGGAACCAAGGGAAAUGAACAGUUUCCAGAACACUCUUGAAAAUGUUGCUUCUGUAAAAUGACUGAAAUGUACCUUAAGAUGGGAAUGGGUUAAAAGAGAAAGUGAGUAGAAUAAAAUAGAAAAGGAAAUAAAUUAGAAGGAUUUCACGGAAGUUAAAGCACAACAGUGGCAGAUUAAAGCCCACAUGGGAACCCAAAAAGAACAAUAUUGAUGCUUUUAAAACUUGUAAAUUAUGUACAAGACAAACUUGAGACUUACUUUUCAAAAUAAAAUACUGGGGAAGAGAAUGGAUGUGGAAAAUGACACUACUGGCAUUACUGAAAUGUGCUUUUUUAAUGGAAGGCUAUACUGAGAAAAAUACUAACUAUAAAAAUUAAAUUUUUCUGAACAGAAUGAAAAAUCUAAGCUUGUAGAUUAAAACCAACUCACUGUAUUUCAGGACCCCAAAAAAACAAAAAGUGAAUGAGACCAGUAGUUAAGCACUUUCUGGCAAAAAUAAUAAUAGAGAAUUUAAAAAACCUCAGGCUUUCAGUCAAAAAUUUAACAAGUUGGGCCAGGGAUUUAGCUCAGUGGUUUCGUCACCUGUUGCGCAAGUGCAAGGACCGGAGUUCGAUCCCCAGUACCAAAAAAAAAAAAAUUUAACAAGUUGCUUACAAGAAAACAAAAGAGCAUCUGGCUUCAGACUUCUCUGUACAUAUAACACUGAAUGCCAGGAAACAACAGGGGAUUUCCAGAGGAAAAGUUAAGUCUUUGAAAUUUCAAACGUAUUUUAUAUGUUAAUAUAUUAGUUACAAUUAGCACCCAGAAAAUAGCUAUGUACUGGUUAUAUAAAAAUAAUAAAUCAUACUGCAAUCUACAAACCCUGUUUUAAAUUAAACCAUAUUUGCCUAAUAUAAUUUCAAGGAACUCUUGUAUUGAACAUCAGGUCAUCAUCCCCUAGCAGAACAUGUAUGCUUUUAAGUGGAAGAAACCACAUGUGUAAAAGUGCCCAAAGUCUUCACAUGAAUGAGCUAAAUUAAUUAAGGUGGAGCUAAAAAUAAUUGGAGCAUUACAGAAUCAUGUUCCAUUUUUAUUACUGAAAUAAUGUAUGUUAAUGAUAGUAUAAGUAGAAAUUUCAGAUAUGACCUACACAAAUAAAUUCCUCUUGAUUUUCCCCACAAGCAAACACUAUUGUGAAAAAAAUCUAUUGUUUCUAGGCAGGUGUGGUGGUGCACACAUGUAAUCCAGCACUGGGGGAUGCUGAAGUAGGAGGAUCAUGAGUUCAAGACUAGCCUGGGCAGCGAGACCCUGUCUCAAAACAAAACAAAAGUUCAUUGCUCCCAAGUGAGUCAAGGCCAGGCUCCCUACUUUCUUCUGGGGCUUGACAACCUAGAGCGGAGCCUGGACUCCAUUCCAUGGCUGCUCCCCUCUCCUCACACUCGCUAAUAGCUACAAACCAACACAGUUACUAAAUGUGUGUCUCUUAAAAAGCAAAUAAAGGGCUGGGGAUUUAAAGCGCAAGGACCCAAGUUCGAUCCCCAGUACCAAAACAAAACAAAACAAAUUCUGGAAUCUAGAAUGUCAGCAUUAGCACUAAAAUUGGGUUUGUAUUGUUUUUUCAUUUGCUUGUACUGGAAGGACUUGGAAACCCACGGGAACACAGAGUGUCAUCAGCCUCGAUGCUCAGCUCCUUCCUGGCACUGUAAAAAUUUCAUCUGUGCCCCAAGUUGUCUGCCAAUUUAAACCUUCAGCUAAAUUUUCAGUGACACCAGCAUGUUUGCUUUAAAUUUAGCAAUAAAACAGGUCACAGAUUGCUUUGCAUUUGCUUAGUUUUUCAUUCUGAGCAUAGCAAAACCUCUUCCCAAAGAGAUAGAAAAAAUCUCUUUUGGGUAGAUUCCAAGUCUAACCUUCCCCAGGGUCCUCUCACUUCACCAUGACUGACAAAAGUCUAAUUUAACCAUGUAGGUAAGAAACACAAUGCUUUUAUUUCAAAACUUAGUAUUUUCUAUGUGGUUAUAUUUUUCAAAUAUCAACAAAGCUGUAUUCCUAAUGUUUUCAUUGUUCUGGAUAUGUAUUUUUUUUUUAACAGAGAAAGAUGCCCAUAAUUUCUUAACACUGGAAACAUUCAGGUUGAUGUUCAAUAACUUAAAUAAUUUUAUUACACCGUUUCCAACUCUUCCCCUGCAGUGAUGGCUGCACUGGGCACACACUCGUGCAUGUGGAGGAACGAGUGUGGAAGCAGGCGUCGUGUUUUCUGUUAUGGCGUGUCAGCGAAAGAAGUGAUUUUUAUUGUUCAGCUAGUCCAGCCCUCCUAGUUGGUAGUCUGGUAGAGUCUGUUAAUGCUUUGCAAGGUUCUGGAUGUUUUUUUAAAAGUUGUUGCUUUAUGUACAUGCAGCUUGACUGUUUAACCCAG
ensembl:lncRNA